rnacentral:rRNA from 1 species
UAACCCUGGGAAACUGGGGAUAAUACCUUAUAGGUGAUAAUGGCUGGAACGCCUCUUCACUCAAGGAAUACUCGCUUGAGGAUGGGACUGCGGCGGAUUAGCUCGUUGUUAGGAUAAAAGCCUAACAAGGCGGUAAUCCGUACGGGUCGUGAGAGCGGUAGCCCGGAGAUGGACUCUGAGACAUUAGUCCAGGCCCCACGGGGCGCAGCAGUUGCGAAACCUCCACAAUGCGCGAAAGCGUGAUGGGGGGACCCUGAGUGACUUCGCACUGCGAAGUCUUUUUAUGAGUGUAAACAGCUCAUAGAAUAAGUGGUGGGUAAGACGGUUGCCAGCCGCCGCGGUAAUAACCGCGCCACAAGUUGUAGUCACGUUUAUUGGGCCUAAAGCGUCCGUAGCCGGCUUGACAAGUCUCUGGUGAAAUCCUAUAGCAAACUAUAGGGCUUGCUGGAGAUACUAUCAGGCUUGAGACCGGGAGAGGCUGAGGGUACUUCUGGGGUAAGGGUAAAAUCUUUUAAUCCCAGAGGGACCACCUGUGGCGAAGGCGCUCAGCUAGAACGGGUCUGACGGUGAGGGACGAAAGCUAGGGGAGCGACCGGGAUUAGAUACCCCGUUAGUCCUAGCUGUUAACGAUGCCCACUUGGUGUUGCAAAACUUUAGGGGUUUUGCAGUGCCGUAGCGAAGGUGUUAAGUGGGCCGCCUGGGGAGUACGGCCGCAAGGCUGGAACUUAAGGGAAUUGGCGGGGGAGCACUACCAGGGGUGGAGGCUGCGGUUUAAUUGGAUUCAACGCCGGGAACCUCACCAGGAAAGACAGCAGAAUGAUGGUCAGCCUGAAGGGCUUACCUGACAAGCUGAGAGGUGCUGCAUGGCCGUCGUCAGUUCGUGCCGUGAGGUGUCUUGUUAAGUCAAGAAACGAACGAGACCUGCGCCGUUAGUUGCUAUCUAUUUCCACGGAAGUGGAGCACUCUAACGGGACCGCUGGUGCAAAACCAGAGGAAGGAGCAGGCUACGGCAGGUCUGUAUGGCCCAAAUUUCCUUGGGCUACACGCGGCCUACAAUGCGUAGAACAAUGGGAUGCAACACCGAAAGGUGAAGCUAAUCUCCUAAAUCUGCGCUUAGUUCGGAUCGGGGGCUGCAACUCGCUCCCGUGAAGCCGGAAUCCCUAGUAAGCGAAGGUCAUCAUCUUUCGCUGAAUACGUCCCUGCUCCUUGCACACACCGCCCGUCAAGCCAUCCGAGUGAAUCCUUGGUGAGGCUUACGCUGAGUAAUUCGAAUCAAGGUUUUGCAAGGAGGGCUAAGUCGUAACAAGGUAGCCGUACGGGAACGUGCGGCUG